CUUUAAUGAAACACGAAACCUCGGGGAAAGGUGCCCCUCGAUCAGGUGCAGGAGCAUCGGGGACGCAGAUGAUUUGCUUGGAUAAUCCGAACCAGAAUUCUAUACAGCAACAAAGAGAGGGAUGGUGCUUUGAAGGUGUAGGUGUUCUACUUGCUGUAUUUGCUGUUGUUUGAUGGGUGAGUGCUGGUUAUUCGGCUGUAUAUUUGAGGUAUUGAUCGUGCCUAUGUCGCGAAAGACGCGCUUCCUAGAGGUUUCGAUUGAUUCUGUGCGUUGCAAUCGUCUGUUGAAAUGCCUCAGCGAUACGGGGUUCUUUGGAGUGCAGCAGUUGGAUUUGCAUAUAGUGGAAUACGAGUAAAGGCAGUUGACAGCGGACAAUGCAUGAAGGUUUAAUGCCCAAUUCGUUAUCUGUUGCACUAAUUCAAAGCUUAUUUUUUUCGGUGGGGUAGUUUUAGUUGGAUGUGCCAUUGGAAGUAUGAGUUGGAUGUGCCAAGGAGAUCAAUUGCUUGGUGAUGGAGACGAGGAAUUAGUAAGCGCGUUUUCGGUUAUUCUGCACUGGUCUGUAGAGGCUGAGGCUUGAAGGCUUUAAAAUAAACCAUAUUGGUGCAGAAAGAAGUGAACUGAAACAUGAUUGGACAAAUGGCUAUCGUGCUUGCUAGGAGUCGCUAAAAACCUGACCGUGCGAGAAAGGUCAAUUGCAAAGCCUUGAAAAAGAGUUCUUCCCAGAUGGUUCUGUUACAAUCAUUCUUCUUGUUAUGUCCUUCGCAAUUUCGACUUGGUCUCUCGAUGAGAUCGAGGAGAGAAAUGAAAAAGAGGGGCAAUUUCAUGAUGUAGCUACCAUCUUGAUUUUCAAGAAGGCAAUUCCAGUCCAUCUAUUUCUGUUAAGACGUUAAUAGUUUUCAGACAAUAAGAAGCGUCUUUAGCACAAGCACUCCGAGAUGAUCCGAUGAUGUAAGUGUAUGUUUUUACUCCUAUUCAGUUUACGUUGGCUGUUCGGAAAAGGAAGAUCCUUAAAAUCAAAAUGAGCCUAUGGUUGAUCUGCAUCGUUGAGGUGGUGCGCGUUUGAUCUCCUGGAAAUAUUUGUUCGAGCCUUGAGGUCUUCUUUUGUUGUUAAAAUCACCAGUAUAAUGUUUCAUGUCUCUUAUUUUUUUGGUUUUGUUUGCUUUGCUGUAGUAUGUGCAGAUCCAAUGAAAACAAAAAUUUCAGCUGCUCAGCACA